GCAGUGAAGGGGCCUCUCUGACCCGCAAAGGCAGGUCAUUCCAUAAUUUAGGGCUGAUGACAGAGAAAGCCCUGUCCCCUCUGAGCUUCCUUUCUGUUCUCGGUACCUCCAAGAGCAGCUGAUCUGCUGACCUGAGAGACCGAUAAGGUACGUAGGGAUGAAGAAGCUCAGAGAGGCAGCCAGUGAAGUGAGGCCAGGACAGGGGUCACAUGUUCCCUCUUCCGAGUUCCUGUCAAAAGUCGUGCAGCAGCAUUCUGAACCAGAUGCAGACGUGAGAGCAGUGACUGACUGACUCCCAGGUAAAGUGAGUUACAGUAAUCCAAACGAGUUGAAAUAAAAGUGUGGAUCACUGUUUCAAAAUGCUGCCUGGAAAGAACAGAUUUCACUGACGCCAAUCGCCUUAAAUGAUAAAAGCUGGACUUAACCACGGCUUUGAUUUGGGUGUCUAAUUUAAAAUCACUGUCCACCUUAAAACCAAGAUAUGUAAUAACAGGUUUAAAAUAUACCUCCAAGGGUCCCAGGUCCACAGAGGAGGACUCACAGGAGCCACUGGGUCCAAACACCAUCACCUCUGUUUUAUUUUCUUUAAAAUUUAAGAAGUUCAAGGCCAACCAAGCUUUAAUAUCUCCUAGACAUGCCAGGAGAUGUUUGAUGGAAUGGACAUCCUUCUGCUUCAUGGGCAAAUAAAUCUGACAA